rnacentral:tRNA from 1 species
GGGGAUGUGGCUGAGCGGCCGAAGGCGGCGGACUGUAAAUCCGUUUCUCAAAAAGACACGAUGGUUCGAAUCCAUCCGUCCCCACCA